rnacentral:rRNA from 1 species
AGGACGAACGCUGGCGGCGUGCUUAACACAUGCAAGUCGAGCGGAAAGGCCCUUCGGGGUACUCGAGCGGCGAACGGGUGAGUAACACGUGAGCAACCUGCCCUUAGCUCCGGGAUAGCUCCGGGAAACCGGAAUUAAUACCGGAUACGACCACAGCCGACAUCUGCUGUGGUGGAAAGGAUUCCGGCUAAGGAUGGGCUCGCGGCCUAUCAGCUAGUUGGUGAGUAACGGCCCACCAAGGCGACGACGGGUAGC